AAGCAUAUCAAUAAGCGGAGGAAAAGAAACUAACAAGGAUUCCCCUAGUAACGGCGAGUGAAGCGGGAAGAGCUCAAAUUUGAAAUCUGGUGGCCUCAGGUCAUCCGAGUUGUAAUCUAUAGAAGUGUUUUCCGUGCUGGCUCAUGUACAAGUCCCUUGGAACAGGGCGUCAUAGAGGGUGAGAAUCCCGUCCUUGACAUGAACUACCAGUGCUCUGUGAUACAUUUUCAACGAGUCGAGUUGUUUGGGAAUGCAGCUCAAAAUGGGUGGUAAAUUCCAUCUAAAGCUAAAUAUUGGCGAGAGACCGAUAGCGAACAAGUACCGUGAGGGAAAGAUGAAAAGCACUUUGGAAAGAGAGUUAAACAGUAUGUGAAAUUGUUGAAAGGGAAACGAUUGAAGUCAGUCGUGCUCUUUGGAUUCAGCCGGUUCUGCCGGUGUACUUCCUUUGAGUGGGGUCAACAUCAGUUUUGAUCGCUGGAUAAAGGCUGGAGGAACGUAGUACCCUCGGGUAAACUUAUAGCCUCCUGUCACAUACAGUGGUUGGGACUGAGGAACGCAGCACGCCUUUAUGGCCGGGAUUCGUCCACGUACGUGCUUAGGAUGUUGACAUAAUGGCUUUAAACGACCCGUCU
rnacentral:rRNA from 1 species